rnacentral:rRNA from 1 species
AGAGUUUGAUCCUGGCUCAGGAUGAACGCUGGCGGCGUGCCUAACACAUGCAAGUCGAGCGGAGAUAUAGAGAGAUUCUUCGGAUACUUUCUUUAUCUUAGCGGCGGAUGGGUGAGUAACACGUGGGUAACCUGCCCUGCACAGGGGGAUAACAGCUGGAAACGGCUGUUAAUACCGCAUAUGCACACGCUGCCGCAUGGCAGAGGGUGGAAAGAUUUAUCGGUGCAGGAUGGGCCCGCGUCGGAUUAACUAGUUGGCAGGGUAACGGCCUACCAAGGUGAUGAUCCGUAGCCGACCUGAGAGGGUGACCGGCCACAUUGGGACUGAGACACGGCCCAAACUCCUACGGGAGGCAGCAGUGGGGGAUAUUGCACAAUGGGCGAAAGCCUGAUGCAGCGACGCCGCGUGAAGGAAGAAGUAUUUCGGUAUGUAAACUUCUAUCAGCGGGGAAGAAGAUGACGGUACCCGACUAAGAAGCCCCGGCUAACUACGUGCCAGCAGCCGCGGUAAUACGUAGGGGGCAAGCGUUAUCCGGAUUUACUGGGUGUAAAGGGAGCGUAGACGGCAGGGCAAGUCCGAUGUGAAAACCCGGGGCUCAACCGCGGGAUUGCAUUGGAAACUGCUCAGCUCGAGUACUGGAGGGGUAAGCGGAAUUCCUAGUGUAGCGGUGAAAUGCGUAGAUAUUAGGAGGAACACCGGCGGCGAAGGCGGCUUACUGGACAGUAACUGACGUUGAGGCUCGAAAGCGUGGGGAGCAAACAGGAUUAGAUACCCUGGUAGUCC